GUCUUUCCUGAGUCAGCUCAGAAAGCAAGCAGUCGUGGUUGAUUUAAAGCAUCUCAGGCUUUCCGAGGAGACCCUGCAGGCCUCCAAAGUUGAGGCAGACCAAGUUACGAUGCUCUGACAGACACCCAGGCUGCAAGGGCUCAGCUCUACCUCCCUGAAAAAUGCCUGGGAUCGGUCAAAACAACAGAGUUGUAGCAGUUUGCUCCAGAGAAGUGGCUUAAGAGCCUCAAACUUUUUGUUCUCAUUGUUAGAGCAGGGAAAUGCAGCUCUCCUUACCAGGUUGCCUGGAAGUAUAAAGAACAGAAGUAGAAAGGAGAUAAGCAAGAGCUGUAGAAGCCAAAUUUCUGCUGAUGAGCACAGCUUGGGGAGGAGAUGGGUUGGAUGGACCUUGGGUAUGAAACCGAGCAGCCAUACUGAUGUUCCUAUGGCAUGCACACAUGGUGACAGUAUUGCCACCAAGAUGUGUAAAUCCCUGUAACACUUUGGCUCACAAAGUUGAUCUUGCUUGACCAUACCCUGUUUUUUUCACUGCAAAGCCAAUGGUUUUAGAGGGCCGCACAGAGAGCUAUGUCUGCAAGCUGACAGCAGAGAAGGGUCCUCCUCUGACCCUUUUUCCUAAAAUCUCUAGGAAGUCCAGGCAGAUUUCUCAUGUAAAGCCUCCCCCUAGGUUUUGUUCCUCCAUCAGACACAGCAACAGCUCCUGGGAGCUUCCUGCUCAGCUGAGAGCCAGGUUAAAUUCAGUUUUCCCAGGAAAUGACUCUUGAUAUAUUUUUACGGUUUGGUAUUUGUCCUCUGUGAAGCAUCUUCCUUUCAUGCUAAAUGCGCACCUAUUAUACGCAUGAUUUAUUUUCAAAUUCCUAGAGGAGGCUGGAGGCUCAGUCUGUCUGUAGCAUACAGGAACACAUCUCAAGCAAGGAAGCUCCCAACUUUAAGUGACUUUCAGCCUAGGACCUUGGGAGCUGGGUUUUCCCCAUGCCUCCUGGAGGACUUGGCUAGAGGCUAUGCGUGCAGGCUUCUCCCGGGUACGGGCUACAAGCAUUAGCAAGUUCAAGGUCAGAAAAACAUUUUGGAAGGGCAAUGUGUUUGUUUUUUUCACUUGCUGGGGAAAGCAUUUAUCUCUGGAU